AACGAGGGUUCUUUCUGUCUACUUUUCGGGGUUAUAAAAAAAUAUUCAAAGUCUUUUAUCCAGUUACAUGCCACUCACCACUUCAAUUCUCCAGCACAAACUUAAGUCCCAGCAGCUUCCCGUCUUCAGUGCAGCCAUUAAACUGCCGCUUCUUCCUGUCUUCUAGGGGAGUAAAUACCAAGCCAGGGAGGGGAUAUGUGGCUCUCCUCAACUCAGCUGCUGGUCUCCCCCUUUUUCCCCCACCCAUACAAGGUGGGUCAGAUGGUUCUGGUCCCUCAGGGACCCCUCCAACAGGGCAAGCACAGAUCAAAGCUGUGCAUGAUCACGGUCUCUGGUCCAUCUUCGAUGGAAAUGCUACCGGAAGUCACCAUGAGCGGAAAUUUUGAGUAGUU